rnacentral:tRNA from 1 species
GUCAUUAUAGUUUAAUAAAAACAUUAGAAUGUGGACCUAAUAAUAGAAGUUUGACCCUUCUUAAUGACC